AUGUUGGAGGAAAUGAGAGCACUUGAAAAGAACAAGACAUGGGAUAUUGUACCUCUUCCAGCAGGAAAACGACCGGUUAGCUGUAAAUGGGUGUAUACUGUGAAGCAGACUCCUGAAGGAAGGGUAGAAAGAUACAAGGCAAGGUUAGUGGCUAGGGGCUAUAGUCAGACAUACGGGAUUGAUUAUGAUGAGACUUUUGCACCUGUCGCAAAGAUGGGCACAGCGAGAACCUUAAUUUCUUGUGCCACUAACUUUGGUUGGGCUUUGCAUCAGUUAGAUGUAAAGAAUGCAUUCCUACAUGGUGAUUUACAUGAGGAAGUUUACAUGGAGAUUCCACCUGGUUUCUCAAAGCCCGAGACAUCAAGAAAGGUAUGCAAGUUAAGGAAGUCUUUGUAUGGCCUCAAACAGUCUCCACGAGCAUGGUUUGAUAGAUUCAGACGUGCUGUGUGCAAUAUGGGAUAUAAACAGUGCAAUGGGGAUCAUACAGUAUUCUACCGACACUCAAAUUGUCAGAUUACAAUCCUUGCGGUGUAUGUGGAUGAUAUUAUAAUCACCGGAGAUGAUGAUGUGGAAAUAUCACGACUGAAGAAGAGCCUGAGCAAGGAGUUUGAGGCCUGCUUCAACACCUAUUGA
rnacentral:rRNA from 1 species